GUCAAUCAGUCAGUCCUUUAGUCAGUCCCUUAGUCAGUCAGUCAGUCAAUCAGUCACUUAGUCAGUCAGUCAGUCAGUCAUUGAGUCAGUGAGUCAGUGAGUGAAUCAGUCCCUUAGUGAGUCAGUCCUUUAGUGAGUCAGUGUCAGUGAGUGAGUGAGCCAGGCGUUGAGUCACCAUCUUGCUUCAGCACACUGCCAAAAUUGCUCCGAGUGAACAUUUUCAUUGUGUCAAACUGAAGGAAAUAAAACGAUCGGUCAGUGAGGCAGCGUCGGCACGCCUGUGCUUGGUGAGCUAGUGUGGCGGCGUGGACCGCCUCACACUGAGCCACCCCCGCCGCAGAGGAGGCCAGCGCAUGCCUGCCAGCAUAUACUGGCACCACUAAGACCAGCUUAUCACCACAGGCUGGCGCCACACCAGGCCAGCUCCGUCACAGGAAGGGCAGCACCGCGGGACGUGCUCUUGGGGGAAACGGGAGACGUUCUCUCCCGGCGUUCCAUCACGUCCCCCACCCCACACACACACACACAGACAAGCAGGGGAAGUCGCCCCUGCCAGCCGCGGGCUGGCAGGGCUCGGGCCGGGGCCGCGUGUUGCUGCCUAGUGGACUGCUUGCUCCAGUGUGCGCAGGUCAUGACCUUCACCUUGCUCAUGUACGAAGUGUCCCUCCAGUGGUUCUGAGCCUGCUGCCCCCGAGCUCCACUACGGCACUCCACACCACACCAACCACCACCACUCAUGGGGUCACCACACACCACUCCAGAGUGUACCAACAAUGACCACCACUCAUAGGGUCACCACACACCACACUACAGCGCACAGUCACCACCACACAGGCCACCACUCGUGGGGCCUGAUGUCUGGUGACACACUCACACUCUCUACAGUAUAUCGUUUCUUUCAUCGUGUCUCUCAACAA